CAGUAGCCACGGGAAUACGGAGGGGGCUAGCGUUGUUCGGAAUUACUGGGCGUAAAGCGCACGUAGGCGGCUUGGUAAGUUAGAGGUGAAAGCCUGGAGCUCAACUCCAGAAUUGCCUUUAAGACUGCCGGGCUAGCAGGUGAGAGAGGUGAGUGGAAUUCCGAGUGUAGAGGUGAAAUUCGUAGAUAUUCGGAAGAACACCAGUGGCGAAGGCGGCUCACUGGACUGGUAUUGACGCUGAGGUGCGAAAGCGUGGGGAGCAAACAGGAUUAGAUACCCGCGUAGUCCCUGUCUCUUAUAC
rnacentral:rRNA from 1 species